CAGUUUCAAUCUGUUGAGGACAAAUAAAGUGAAUAUGGGUAUCGAUUCCGCCCGCUGUUACGAUGUAGCCAUUUCCUCCGUGUACUUCGGUAGAUGCCCCGAUAACCAUUCCUGGCGUUACGCCAUCCAUUGUAUCUGGAUUUCCUGCCUUACCAAUUCCUACAAUUUUCCCAUCUUUUAUCCCGAUAUCUGCUUUUACGAUUCCCCAGUGGUCUAGGAUUGUAGCUCCUGUAAUACAUAAAUCUAGAACGCCGUCUGAUCUUUUUGCAUUCACAUUUUGCCCCAUUCCAUCACGCACUG
rnacentral:sRNA from 1 species